GGAUGGAUAGAUGAUAGAUGAUAGACAGAUGAUGGAUGGAUAGAAGAGUAAAUAGAUAUUUAAAUUGGUGGACAAAUUGGAUGGAUGGAUGGAUGGGUGGGUGGAUGGAUGGCUAGAUUGAUGGGUAGAAAAUGGGUAGGUGGUUAGAUGGAUGGAUAGAAGAGUAAAUAAAUAUGUAAAUGGGUGGAAACGUAGAUGGAUGGAUGGAUGGAUGGGUGGGUGGAUGGAUGGCUAGAUAGAUGGGUAGAAAGAUGGGUGGGUGGAUGGAUGAUGGACAGACGGAUGGAUGAUAAAUGGGUCGUAAAUGGGUGGCUAGAUGGAUGGAUAGAAGAGUAUAUACGUAAAUGGGUGGAUAGAUAGAUAGAUAGAUGGAUGGAUCAUAGAUACUGUAGAUAGAUGGGUAGAAAGAUGGGUGGGUAGAUGGAUGGAUGAUAGAUUGAUUGAUGGAUAGAUAGAUGGAUAGACUGAUGGGUCGAAAGAUGGAUGGGUAGAUGGAUGAUGGAUAGGUGGAUGGGUCGAUAGAUAUGUUGAUGAGAAGAAAGAAUGAUAGAAUGAUAUACAGAUUCAUUAGUAGAUAGAUAGAUAGAUAGAUAGAUAGAUAGAUAGAUAGAUAGAUAGAAUGAUGGAUAGAUGGAUAGAGAUGUAUCUAGAUAUCUAAAUGUCAAAGGCAGAAAGAGACUCCUAAGUAUUUUUUGCUCUGAGUCAAGUGAUAAUCGUCUCUCAGACGGCCUUGUCCUCACUUUUCUCUCCGCCUGGUUUUGAAUACUGUGAAUUUAGACAUGUGAGUGUAGCAGCACACAAGGGUCAUUAGAGACGCGGCGUCCUCAAUCAAAUCCACGACCCAGUAACACAGCCAGAGAACAACUAAUGAUGCUGUUCACACAAUGUCUCCACAACUACUUUUACCAAGGUUUCCAUGAAACGCAGAGGAAAAUGUCAUGCUAAUAAUAUUUCACCUGAUAUAGUAAUUCUGUGCACCUCUUAAUCUCUAACGUCAAGAGUUAUUCUGCAGUAAAGCCACAAGAGACCGUGUUGAAUUUGCCAUGCUUGUGACUGCAACAUUAUUAUAAUGAUAAAAUGUAUAAUGUUUUAUUUAUUAUUAUUAUUAUUAAUAAUUAUUAUCAUUAAUAUUAGUAAAAAAUUAUUUUAUUAUUAUUAUCAUUUGUUAUUAUUUGAACAUGGCUCGUCCAAUCCAAGUUGCUUUAAAACUUUAAUUUUUCCCCAUAUCAUCGUGACUUAAUUUCUUAACUGUAAAACUCUUUUUCUCUCAUCAGCACACGCGAAGGAGUCCAGAUAUGAAAGAUACUGUUAGGAGAUCAUCAAGAAGACCAAUUAGAAUCCAUUACCUGAAACAAUGCGCGGUGUCAACCACGUGGCAAUUAGUACCGCGCCGUAAUUAACUCUGAGCUAUUCUGGACGAAUGUCUGGUGCGGGAUCAUGCAAAUGUUUUUCUUCAUUAAUAUUGCAAAUCAUCCCUGUUGUGCAUCAUUUUGCUUGCACUAACGUCACAACUGGAGAAUUUUAGUGACGUGUGUUUACGCAGUAAAUCAAUUGAUUUUAGAGUUGCGUCAUCACUUUAAAGGAAUAAUUCACCCCAAAAUUUUAAUUUGCUGAAAUUUUACUAACCCUCAAGCCAACCAAGAUGUUUGUUUCUUCAUCAGAUCAGAUGUUUCUUUCUUCAUUUGUUUCUUCAUCAAGCGUUAUUAUGGAUUAUUAACUUGUAUUUUAGUUCAAAACUAAAGAUUUGUUUCUUUUGUUUCUAACUUUGUUAGAUUUGUUUCUUACAAACAUGCAGCUUUUAUCUUUUCAAGAUGUUAACUGAUGGACUGGAGUGGUGUGGAUUACUUGUGGAUUAUUGUGAUGUUUUUAUCAGCUGUUUGGACUCUCAUUCUGAAGGCACCCAUUCACUGCAGAGUAUCCAUCGGUGAGCAAGUGAUGCAAUGCUACAUUUCUCCAAAAAUAAUGAAGAAACAAACUCAUCUGCAUCUUGGAUGGCCUAAAGGAUACCGAAGCCCGAAACGGCCGAAUACAACGAGAAAUUCAGCAAAUGAUUGGUUCGUGGAAGCCGUUUUUAGCAUAAUGGCUUCAGGGCUAAAGGCUCUUGAUGGAGCUCUGAGAGGAUGUGGUUCAUGAACAGUGCAAAAAGAGUCACAGGACCUUAGAUCUCAUCCGCUAGGACUUAAAAGGCAUCUGUAGACCCUUGAGAAACUUCCUGAAUCCUAACACUCACUGAUGUCUUCUGAGGGACCGACUGAUCAGGACAAGCGCGCCAGUGUGGGUGUUGAUGUCGAGUGAAAGAUCAGAACAGCAAGCGUCUGCGCUCGAUCUCUGGACUACAUUGUGGAUAUUUUUAGAACACGGUUCCUUUGAAGAGAGAGAAUGAAGCUCCGGCCGCUGUCUGAUCUUGAUGUGAUUUCUCUCUCUUUCUCCCGCAAUGACCGCGUCCUCCCCUCACGAACAUGAAAGACGCCUGAAACAUUCAUGCAUUUCAGUCAUUCUUGCAGCGCGGGGCAGUGUGGCCUUGCAUUUUUAAUGGAGAAUAGAAUGUAAAGAAAACGUUUACCUGCAUCAAUUGUGUAGAUCCAGACAUGCAUUUACCGAAGUGCGGCUACAUUUAUCUUAUAUAGA